UGAGGCUGCAUUGGGGGAAGCUCUAACAUGAAGCAAAAGGAAUAAGAAUUUUAAAGACAAAAAGCCACAGGAGCCCCCCGCCCCACGUAGCGUACUUUUAUUUGUAUUUUUUGAGAUUUUUUUUUUUCGUGGUGGUGGGGGAGGUGAUUGGGUGGCUGACUGGCUGCGGGAAGCUACUUCCUUUCCUUUUGGAGAUGAUUGUGCUAUUAUUCUUUGCCUUGCUCUGGAUGGUGGAAGGAGUCUUUUCCCAGCUUCACUACACGGUACAGGAGGAGCAGGAACAUGGCACUUUCGUGGGGAAUAUCGCUGAAGAUCUGGGCUUGGACAUUACAAAACUUUCGGCUCGCAGAUUCCAAACGGUGCCCAACUCAAGGACCCCUUACUUAGACCUCAACCUGGAGACCGGGGUGCUGUACGUGAACGAGAAGAUCGACCGCGAGCAAAUCUGCAAACAGAGCCCCUCCUGUGUCCUGCACCUGGAGGUCUUCCUGGAGAACCCCCUGGAGCUGUUCCGGGUGGAGAUCGAGGUGCUGGACAUUAAUGACAACCCCCCCUCUUUCCCGGAGCCGGACCUGACCGUGGAAAUCUCUGAGAGCGCCACGCCAGGCACCCGCUUCCCCUUGGAGAGCGCAUUCGACCCAGACGUGGGCACCAACUCCUUGCGCGACUAUGAGAUCACCCCCAACAGCUACUUCUCCCUGGACGUGCAGACCCAGGGGGAUGGCAACCGAUUUGCCGAGCUGGUGCUGGAGAAACCACUGGACCGAGAGCAGCAAGCGGUGCACCGCUACGUGCUGACCGCGGUGGACGGGGGAGGAGGGGGAGGAGAAGGAGGGGGAGGUGGCGGGGGAGCGGGCCUGCCCCCCCAGCAGCAGCGCACCGGCACGGCUCUACUCACCAUCCGAGUGCUGGACUCCAACGACAACGUGCCCGCUUUCGACCAACCCGUCUACACUGUGUCCCUACCAGAGAACUCGCCCCCAGGCACGCUCGUAAUCCAGCUCAACGCUACCGACCCGGACGAGGGCCAGAACGGUGAGGUCGUAUACUCCUUCAGCAGCCACAUUUCGCCCCGGGCACGGGAGCUCUUCGGACUCUCACCGCGCACUGGCCGGCUGGAGGUGAGCGGCGAACUGGACUAUGAAGAGAGCCCAGUGUACCAAGUGUAUGUACAAGCCAAGGACCUGGGCCCCAACGCCGUGCCUGCGCACUGCAAGGUGCUGGUGCGAGUGCUGGAUGCUAACGACAACGCGCCAGAAAUCAGCUUCAGCACUGUGAAGGAGGCGGUGAGCGAGGGCGCGGCGCCCGGCACAGUGGUGGCCCUGUUCAGCGUGACCGAUCGCGACUCGGAGGAGAAUGGGCAGGUGCAGUGCGAGCUGCUGGGCGACGUGCCGUUCCGCCUCAAGUCUUCCUUUAAGAAUUAUUACACCAUCGUGACCGAAGCCCCCCUGGACCGAGAGGCGGGGGACUCCUACACCCUGACUGUGGUGGCCCGGGACCGGGGCGAGCCGGCGCUCUCCACCAGUAAGUCGAUCCAGGUACAGGUGUCAGAUGUGAACGACAACGCGCCGCGCUUCAGCCAGCCGGUCUACGACGUGUAUGUGACUGAAAACAACGUGCCGGGCGCCUACAUCUACGCGGUGAGCGCCACCGACCGCGAUGAGGGCGCCAACGCCCAGCUUGCCUACUCUAUCCUCGAGUGCCAGAUCCAGGGUAUGAGCGUUUUCACCUACGUGUCCAUCAACUCUGAGAACGGCUACUUGUACGCCCUGCGCUCCUUCGACUACGAGCAGCUUAAGGACUUCAGCUUUCAGGUGGAAGCCCGGGACGCCGGCAGCCCCCAGGCGCUGGCGGGCAACGCCACUGUCAACAUCCUCAUAGUGGAUCAAAACGACAACGCCCCUGCCAUCGUGGCGCCCCUGCCAGGGCGCAACGGGACUCCGGCGCGCGAGGUGCUGCCCCGCUCGGCAGAGCCGGGUUACUUGCUCACCCGUGUGGCCGCGGUGGACGCGGACGACGGCGAGAACGCCCGGCUCACCUAUAGCAUCGUGCGGGGCAACGAAAUGAACCUCUUUCGCAUGGACUGGCGCACCGGGGAGCUCCGCACAGCGCGCCGAGUUCCGGCCAAGCGCGACCCCCAGCGGCCUUAUGAGCUGGUGAUCGAGGUGCGCGACCAUGGGCAGCCGCCCCUGUCCUCCACCGCCACCCUGGUCGUUCAGCUGGUGGAUGGAGCAGUGGAGCCCCAGGGCGGGGGCGGGGGCGGAGGAGGAGGGUCAGGGGAGCAUCAGCGACCCAGCCGCUCUGGCGGCGGGGAAACCUCGCUAGACCUCACCCUCAUCCUUAUCAUUGCUCUGGGCUCAGUGUCCUUCAUCUUCCUGCUGGCCAUGAUCGUGCUGGCCGUCCGCUGCCAAAAAGAGAAGAAGCUCAACAUCUACACGUGUCUGGCCAGCGAUUGCUGCCUCUGUUGCUGCUGCUGCGGCGGUGGAGGUUCGACCUGCUGUGGCCGCCAAGCCCGGGCGCGCAAGAAGAAACUCAGCAAGUCGGACAUUAUGCUGGUGCAGAGCUCCAACGUACCCAGUAACCCUGCCCAGGUGCCCGUGGAGGAGUCCGGGGGCUUUGGCUCCCACCACCACAACCAGAAUUACUGCUACCAGGUCUGCCUGACCCCGGAGUCCGCCAAGACCGAUCUGAUGUUCCUUAAGCCCUGCAGCCCUUCCCGGAGUACGGACACUGAGCACAACCCCUGCGGGGCCAUCGUCACCGGUUACACCGACCAGCAGCCCGACAUCAUCUCCAACGGAAGCAUUUUGUCCAACGAGGUAAGGCUGAAGCGAAAGGACCACCAUCUCUCAUCUCCUCCAUCAGAAAGCCUCCUCUAGCACGGCCCUUGUACCUCUGGUGCACUGUGUAUUUAUUUUU